rnacentral:lncRNA from 1 species
GGGUGAUACUAUAGCCCUCAGUGCAAGACACAAAAUUGCAGCAAGCGAGUACUACUCUGGACUGAGAGGGUCAAGGGAACCAAAUGAGGUUCAAGCAACAAUAAUUGGAGUUGUGAAGCUAUUAGUUUCUCUUUCAUUUUCCUUCAUUCAGAUUCUCAUGGUUCAUGGCUCAUGAUGAAAUUCUGGAUCAUUUUAUAAACGUUCUG